rnacentral:rRNA from 1 species
UACGUAGGGUGCGAGCGUUGUCCGGAAUUAUUGGGCGUAAAGAGCUCGUAGGCGGUGUGUCACGUCGGCCGUGAAAACCUGCAGCUUAACUGUGGGCGUGCGGUCGAUACGGGCAUCACUGGAGUUCGGCAGGGGAGACUGGAAUUCCUGGUGUAGCGGUGAAAUGCGUAGAUAUCAGGAGGAACACCCGUGGCGAAGGCGGCUUCCUGGGGCCAUCCUGACACUGAGAAGCGAAAGCUAGGGGGAGCGAACGGG